rnacentral:lncRNA from 1 species
GUGAAGUUUUCAUGCUUCAAUCAUCCAUCUACACACAUAUAUCUCAAUAUAGAGUCUAGAUCCAUAAGAUUAGAACACUUACUCAAGUAAAUCAAAGAGAAAAAUAAAAUCUUCUUUCCAAUCUUCAAGCUUGUAUCUCCACUAAUCUUCUAGGCUUUACCAAGGAAAUAGAGGUGUUUAGAUCAAUAUCAUUGGAAGACUUGGUGUAGAGAUGAUCUAAAAAGCUUGGUGUUCUUCGAUCAUGGAGGAUUAAUGGAGGAAAGGAAGAUUAGAGAGAGAAACUGAAGAGGCCGUGAGUUAGGGAGGAAGUGAGAAGAAAGAGAAAGUAUUUUGUUUAAAAUCAUCCACUUGCUUCCAAGCUUAGCCAACAAGUAAAUGCUCAAGCUUAUCCACUAAGCCACUUGAUUAAAACACACAUGUCUAAUUGAUUAUAAUAAUCAAGUGAGAGUGUAGUAUUGUGUGGUGAAAAAUAAACCAUGUGUUAAGCCACACGAAUUAAAUCAUGGAAGACUAGUCACAAUUAAUGAAAUGCCAUAGCAUAAUUAUUCAUGUAACC